UACGUAGGGUGCAAGCGUUGUCCGGAAUUAUUGGGCGUAAAGAGCUCGUAGGCGGUCUGUCGAGUCUGCUGUGAAAACUCGGGGCUUAACCCCGGGCCUGCAGUGGGUACGGGCAGACUAGAGUGCGGUAGGGGAGACUGGAAUUCCUGGUGUAGCGGUGAAAUGCGCAGAUAUCAGGAGGAACACCAGCGGCGAAGGCGCCGCUCUGGGCCGUAACUGACGCUGAGGAGCGAAAGCAUGGGUAGCAAACAGG
rnacentral:rRNA from 1 species